UACGUAGGGUGCGAGCGUUAAUCGGAAUUACUGGGCGUAAAGCGUGCGCAGGCGGCGCGUUAAGACAGGUGUGAAAGCCCCCGAGCUUAACUUGGGGAAUUGCGCUUGUGACUGGCGUGCUGGAGUGUGGCAGAGGGAGGUGGAAUUCCACGUGUAGCAGUGAAAUGCGUAGAGAUGUGGAGGAACACCGAUGGCGAAGGCAGCCUCCUGGGGCCAGCACUGACGCUCAUGCACGAAAGCGUGGGGAGCAAACAGG
rnacentral:rRNA from 1 species